rnacentral:rRNA from 1 species
UACGGAGGGAGCUAGCGUUGUUCGGAAUUACUGGGCGUAAAGCGCACGUAGGCGGCUAUUCAAGUCAGAGGUGAAAGCCCGGGGCUCAACCCCGGAAUGGCUUUCGAAACUGCUGAGCUAGAGUACAGAAGGGGCAACCGGAAUUCCCAGUGUAGCGGUGAAAUGCGUAGAUAUUGGGAAGAACACCUGAGGCGAAGGCGGGUUGCUGGGCUGAUACUGACGCUGAGGCGCGAAAGCCAGGGGAGCAAACGGG